GAUGAACGCUGGCGGCGUGCCUAAUACAUGCAAGUCGAGCGAACAGACGAGGAGCUUGCUCCUCUGACGUUAGCGGCGGACGGGUGAGUAACACGUGGAUAACCUACCUAUAAGACUGGGAUAACUUCGGGAAACCGGAGCUAAUACCGGAUAAUAUAUUGAACCGCAUGGUUCAAUAGUGAAAGACGGUUUUGCUGUCACUUAUAGAUGGAUCCGCGCCGCAUUAGCUAGUUGGUAAGGUAACGGCUUACCAAGGCGACGAUGCGUAGCCGACCUGAGAGGGUGAUCGGCCACACUGGAACUGAGACACGGUCCAGACUCCUACGGGAGGCAGCAGUAGGGAAUCUUCCGCAAUGGGCGAAAGCCUGACGGAGCAACGCCGCGUGAGUGAUGAAGGUCUGCGGAUCGUAAAACUCUGUUAUUAGGGAAGAACAAAUGUGUAAGUAACUAUGCACGUCUUGACGGUACCUAAGCAGAAAGUCACGGCUAACUACGG
rnacentral:rRNA from 1 species